rnacentral:rRNA from 1 species
AGCCUGAUGCAGCGACGCCGCGUGAGGGAUGACGGCCUUCGGGUUGUAAACCUCUUUCAGUAGGGAAGAAGCGAAAGUGACGGUACCUGCAGAAGAAGCGCCGGCUAACUACGUGCCAGCAGCCGCGGUAAUACGUAGGGCGCAAGCGUUAUCCGGAAUUAUUGGGCGUAAAGAGCUCGUAGGCGGUUUGUCGCGUCUGCCGUGAAAGUCCGGGGCUCAACUCCGGAUCUGCGGUGGGUACGGGCAGACUAGAGUGAUGUAGGGGAGACUGGAAUUCCUGGUGUAGCGGUGAAAUGCGCAGAUAUCAGGAGGAACACCGAUGGCGAAGGCAGGUCUCUGGGCAUUAACUGACGCUGAGGAGCGAAAGCAUGGGGAGCGAACAGGAUUAGAUACCCUGGUAGUCCAUGCCGUAAACGUUGGGCACUAGGUGUGGGGGACAUUCCACGUUUUCCGCGCCGUAGCUAACGCAUUAAGUGCCCCGCCUGGGGAGUACGGCCGCAAGGCUAAAACUCAAAGGAAUUGACGGGGGCCCGCACAAGCGGCGGAGCAUGCGGAUUAAUUCGAUGCAACGCGAAGAACCUUACCAAGGCUUGACAUGAACCGGUAAUACCUGGAGACAGGUGCCCCGCUUGCGG